rnacentral:tRNA from 1 species
GUCGCGUGGACAACGCAUUGAUGUUGUGGAAUCGCGCGCCACAACAGGCCGCGCGUGGCACGCGCGCGCGCGACC